rnacentral:rRNA from 1 species
UACGGAGGAUGCGAGCGUUAUCCGGAUUUACUGGGUGUAAAGGGAGCGCAGGCGGCGUGGCAAGUCAGAUGUGAAAGCCCGGGGCUCAACUCCGGGACUGCUUUUGAAACUGCGUUGCUAGAUUGCGGGAGAGGCAAGUGGAAUUCCUAGUGUAGCGGUGAAAUGCGUAGAUAUUAGGAGGAACACCAGUGGCGAAGGCGGCUUGCUGGACCGUGAAUGACGCUGAGGCUCGAAAGCGUGGGGAGCAAACAGG